GGAAUCACUGCCUUCCGCUUUGACUUUGCUGGAAAUGGGUAAGCUUGUAAAUGAAAGGGUGUAAAAACUGACUUGGAAUUAUUUUUGGUAUGUAACAGGUAUUAUUAAGUGGUUGGUGGUUUGAUAGAUUGAGGCUCAUUUGAAUCUUGGCCUAAUAACCUUGAGGUUAUGGAUUCAAGUCAUAGGGCAACCACUUUAUGCACUAUGUCAAAGACACACAGGUACUUCAAUUGCCAUAAAAAAUCCAAAUUCUAGGACUGGAAGCUCUCCCAAUGUGUGCUUGAGCAGGCCUACGGAUCUCUGAAUCUUUUCACAACUUGGCUUCGGAAUUAAGGAGUUGAUGUUUUUCUAUCUGAUACACAAAGACAUAAAAACAAGAGUACCUUAGAGACUUUUUGUACAUGUAUAUAUAGAAGAAGAAUCUUAUGUUGAUGAGCUUUAAUUUGUGAAAACCCUCCUUUGAUUGUUUUGAUAAAAAUUACAUACAGAUCAUAAGCACUUGGAUCACUUUGAAUGCAUUGGUAAUUCCUGGCAACUAGCCAAUUCUGAUCGUAGUCACAAGGAGUGAACAUGUAGACAAAAUUAUGUUGAUAGUAGUAGUGUUAGAGCCACAAGUGGAGUUUGAACUUUCGAGCUUGAAGGGGAAGGUGUCGAGGCUAACGCAUCUAGGGUAGGGAUGUAAGUUGUUUACCUAAGCAUUUGUAUUAUACUUUUGAUCUAGUGGAUUUUGACUAGCAGGUGCUCGUGGGUUUUUUUUUUUAACCAAGUAGAUUAUUGUUCUUCCUAAGUAUUUUUUUUCUUCCCAUUUAUAUUGAAAUUCCCAAUGAAUGGAAACUAUGGAUUUGCUAGAUGAUCCAAACAACUUGUAAUGCCCCAGCUUUUAUUACCAAAUCCUUUAUAUUAUUACUAAUUUGAAAAUAUCAAACACAAGCCAACAAAAAUUUAAGUACAUAACAACGUUCACUCUCGAUGUGAUGAUGGCAUAUAGAUAAAAUCUGGUACAAUGUCUUUAAGCUUACAUCAAAUAACAAUAAAUAAAAGGGAUCUACCCUUAUAUAAUGCGUGGCAUUCAACCAACAAAUAAAAGGCCCCGUAGCCAAACAUAACAAAAGACUUCAAGUCCUGAACAAUCUUCUAGCCAUGUACCUAAAAAUUUGUCAAUAUGUGGGAUGAGCACAAUGCCCUGUAGAGAUUCCAAAGAUCCUAACCAAUCACAACAUAUAGUUAGAUAUGAUCAUGCAUGCACAACCUACCGUAUAAGUAAUGUGACGGUUUAUAUCCAAAAGUAUACUUAUAUAAAUAUAUUUUCCCCCAAAAAUUAUCUUUUUAACACAACACAGUAGAAAAUAACUUGUCUUUCUAACUUCCUUUUCACUACAAAAAAUUGCAAAACCUCGCUUUCUUUUAAUAAAAACCUUCCAUUUUGACAUAAAAGAAUUCCAUUUAAACAGUUUUGAAAACACGUUCACACAUACUGGACAUGUACUAGUCAUAACCCGACCCCACAUGCCAAUACCCUAUAUGCAUCUACAAUACAUCUACCACCUUUCCUGGCCAUAGGUCCAAGGGCAAGGGACACCCACAAUAUGAAACUGAGAAACACAUACAUCCCCCCCAAAAAAAAAGCUAAGAGUAAUACAUACUUCCAAUUCCAUUUCCACGGGCAUACAACACGGAUGGCAAAUGAUACAACCUACAUAACACAACCCUUUACCAACCUCACUCGGAGGGGAACGACCCCAAGGUCACACUUUAUUGGACGCAAACCAAAAGGAAGGAGAACCUAUCACAAGGUGCCACGCUUUACCGGCUCCACCCGGAGAGAAACGGACCUCCAUUCACACUUUACCAGGCGCAAACCAGAAGGGAGAGGAACCUCUGUGAAGGCAUCACGUUUUACCGGCCUCACCCGGCAGGAAACGGACCCCCAAUCCAUAUCACAAGACGCAAGAUACAUAACUAGUAUACGAGUGUAAUACAUACACUUAAGCCAUUCAACACAGCAGUAACCUCUACUAAUUAGAUGCAUUAACCAUUCUUGCAAAAUGUGCUCCGUGCAGCACUGUUCAACAAUGGGUUUUCUUUCAUUUUCAAAACAUUUCCAAAAUACAAUAUGAGUUACUAAUCACCAAAACCAAAACUAGUUAAUGGUUAUCGUUCACCCAAACUAUCUAUCCAACGACAAUCUCAUAACAUGAACAACAUCACAAUCGUUCCAAUUUCUUUCUAACAACAUAGUUCACGACACACAAAUAGAAUUGUCUAUUCACAAUGUCCAUCGACAACUAUUAUUAAAUAAUCUAACACGCAAACCCUACACAUGGCACCUAUUAAUCAACAAACAAUACCAUCCUUCACCGAUGGCCAAGGACAAAAUCAGUGUUUUUAAAGGCUCAAGGCGCAACGAGGCGCCGAAGGUCUCUUGGGGCCUAGGCACAAGGCGAGGUGCAGGCUUUAUUGAAGUAAGGGGCACAGUCUUAAUAAAAAAUAGAUAAAUGAACAUAGACUAAUGAUUCGUAGCAUGUUAGUACAAAGGCAAUUUAUAAAUAAAUAAAUAACUGAGGCAAAUUAUAGAAUAAUUCUCAAAGUUAUAAAAAUACAUAUUACAUAGCAUUUGAAUUUUCAAAGGUAAAAUAACCCAC